UACGUAGGGGGCUAGCGUUGUCCGGAAUCAUUGGGCGUAAAGAGCGUGUAGGCGGCCCGGUAAGUCCGCUGUGAAAGUCCAGGGCUCAACCCUGGGAUGCCGGUGGAUACUGUCGAGCUCGAGUCCGGAAGAGGCGAGUGGAAUUCCUGGUGUAGCGGUGAAAUGCGCAGAUAUCAGGAGGAACACCAAUGGCGAAGGCAGCUCGCUGGGACGUGACUGACGCUGAGACGCGAAAGCGUGGGGAGCAAACAGG
rnacentral:rRNA from 1 species